AAUGUAUUCCUCCGUCCAACAAAAGAUGUCUCGAGUUUGUCAAAAUUUAGAUGUAUCUAGACAUGACUUAGUGUAUAGAUGCAUUCAAAUUUGGUCAAAGUCAAAACAUCUUUUGUUUUACGGAGGGGGUAGUAC
rnacentral:pre_miRNA from 1 species